rnacentral:rRNA from 1 species
UACGAGGGGAGCAAGCGUUGUUCGGAUUUACUGGGCGUAAAGGGCGCGUAGGCGGCCACGACAAGUCACUUGUGAAAUCUCCGGGCUUAACUCGGAACGGUCAAGUGAUACUGUCGGGCUAGAGUACAGAAGGGGCAACUGGAAUUCUCGGUGUAGUGGUGAAAUGCGUAGAUAUCGAGAGGAACACCUGCGGCGAAGGCGGGUUGCUGGGCUGAUACUGACGCUGAUGCGUGAAAGCCAGGGGAGCGAACGGG